GGUCGGUUGAUUAGACCUUAAAUAGUCAAUUCGUGGCGGAUGGUUACACGCCUUAAAUAACCUA
rfam:Lachnospiraceae bacterium CAG:364 genomic scaffold, scf233